GAGGAUUUAGCUUAAUAAAAGUGAUUGAUUUGCAUUCAAUAGAUAUAGGAUAUAAUCUUGUAAUCCUUA
rnacentral:tRNA from 1 species